rnacentral:tRNA from 1 species
GGUCUUAUGGUCUAGUGGUAUGAUUCUCGCUUAGGGCACACCCUGAGUUUACAACAGUUUGCGAGAGGCCCCGCGUUCGAAUCGCGGUAAGACCC